GAUGAACGCUAGCUACAGGCUUAACACAUGCAAGUCGAGGGACCGGCGCACGGGUGAGUAACACGUAUCCAACCUGCCCUUUGCGGGGGGAUAGCCUGUCGAAAGAAAGAUUAAUACCCGAGAUGAGGGAUGGGGAUGCGUUCCAUUAGGUUGUUGGUAAGGUAACGACACACCAAGCCUUCGAUGGAUAGGGGUUCUGAGAGGAAGGUCCACCAGGUUGGAACUGUGACACGGACCAAACUGCGAGGGGGCGGAGGGGUGAGGAAUAUUGGUCAAUGGACGCUAGCCUGACCCAGCCAAGUAGCGGGAAGAGUGAGUGCUUAUGAAUCGUAAACUUCUAUUAUAUAAGAAUCUGUAUUAUAUGAAUAAGGAUCGGCUAACUCCGUGCCAGCAGCCGCGGUAAUUC
rnacentral:rRNA from 1 species